rnacentral:rRNA from 1 species
CCCUUAGACGUUCUGGGCCGCACGCGCGCUACACUGACCAGUGCAACAAGCAUCCGUCCUUGGCCGACAGGCUCGGGCAAUCUUUGAACGCUGGUCGUGAUGGGGAUAGACUUUUGCAAUUUUUGGUCUUCAACGAGGAAUUCCUAGUAAACGCAAGUCAUCAACUUGCAUUGAUUACGUCCCUGCCCUUUGUACACACCGCCCGUCGCACCUACCGAUUGAAUGGUCCGGUGAAGCCUCCGGAUUGAUGCAAUAUUCAGCUCCUGGACGUUGCGUUGGAAAGUUUAGUGAACCUUAUCACUUAGAGGAAGGAGAAGUCGUAACA